UGUAGAGAAACGACCUUGGCUGUUUCUUGUAACAAGUAAAUCGACACAACAAUAUGUUGGGCGAGUCCUCUCCAAACCGGAGACAAACUCUAUAUCACUAUGAAUCGAAAACGUUACAAGCUUCGCACUAGUUGCGUGUUCUAUGCUUUAGAGAGUUUUAUGUUUCUGUAUUCUUACAACUUUGAGUAGAGACCUCUAUUUAUACUAGACCUAAUCAUGUUAAUCCUUGUUGUAUAAGGAAUAACAUAUAUCCUAAAGCUAUAAGGAAUACUUAGACUUAACCCAUAUUCUUUAUGUCUUGUUUCAGGUCUAAAACCGAAGCCCAUAAGCAGCCCACCAGAUGGCCCAAGAGACACAAGCCUCACAUUCUCCACCUUGACUCUUUGGCCUCACUCAUCGACUUCUCCGUCUCUCUCUCUCUCUCCUUUGGCGACCAGAAGCUUCGACGAGCUCACCGCUUCGUCUUCUCGGACGAUCGUCUGUUCCUCGACGCCGUCGUCACCGGAGAUGCAUGCUUCUCUCCGAUCCUUGCUUCUCUCUAUCUCGCCCCUGCUGUAAUCUCUCUCUCCUUCGAUUCCCCGUGACCAAGACAAGAUCCCGACUUCACCGCCGCUCGUCUUCACCGGCGAUUUCUUCCACCGCCUUUGAAAUCUCAGGUUCUGUUCGUUCUUCUUCUGUCUGUUUCCUUAGACAUUUGAACAAACCCUAACCUUUUGAUUUCAAUUUCCAGCUCGUGCCUUGAUGAAUCUGUUGUAGCUUUGUGAUUAUCAACUGACAAGGUCACUCCAAUUCUCCUCACGCUACCUUUUUGAAACUGAACCAUAACUCGUCAAAGACCAAAAAAGGUAACUCCUUUUGUUUUGACUUCCUUAAGAACGUGUCUCAAGCUCACUUUGAAACCUGUAAUGAAAGAUUCCUUUUGCUGAAUUAUUAAAACAUAUCUCCUUGUUUUAACGUUUACAGCUCAUGGUCAUGGUGUUGACGUCUCUUCACCAUCGUUACUUCCGUUAGGUAAUCAAAUAGAAUUGUUGCUUCAAUUCUUUUAAGAGCUUUUGAACUUGUGAAUAAAUAACUUUUGUUCACAACUGUGUUGCAGGCGUUUCCUUGCUACAACCCCACGUCUUCAGGUUUCUGAUUCUUCUCUUUACAAUGAUUUUUUUUUCCAACUUCUUUUGAAGCUUAACCUCUGCAUAAAAAAUUCUUUGACUAGUAUUUCUUGAAUAAUUUUUUGCAGAUUCCUUGCAUAGACAGCUUCUGUCUACACCCAUCAUUCUUCAAAGGUAAUCUUCUAUACUCAAAUUCAUCUUCUUCCCGAGCUUUUUAAUAACCCUGUCGAACCAUCAGUUUACUUUUCCUGAAACUGAUAUUUUCUUUUGUGGCUUUUCCGCGAGGUGAUCAACUCGACAGCAUUGUCACCUCAGCCACGCGAGACCUUCUAAGGCAGAACCUUGAGGAUCUCCAAGCAUGUCUCGAACUUCUGUCCAGGUACACACUUAGUUAGAAAAUCUGCAGGGUUGAUAGAUGUGUGAAUCUUGUGAACCGUAACAUCGCCAGCCUCAAUUACGUCUCUCAUAAAGUGUAGUCUAGUAUCUAUAUGCUUAGUCCUUUCAUGGAAUCCUCCAUUCUUAGCUAAGUGUAUAGCACUCUGUGAAUCUGAAAACACUCUCACAUCAUCUUGCUUGAAUCCCAAUUCACUAACAAACCCCUUAAGCCAUAAUGCUUCUUUAAAAGCUUCGGCUAAUGCCAUGUAUUCUGAUUCUGUCGUUGAUAGUGCGACAAUAUGUUGGAGACCUGAUCUCCAGCUUAUUGUGUUGCCUCCGACUUGAAACACAUAUCCUGUCACGGAUCUUCUUCUGUCCAAAUCGGUUGCGUAGUCUGCGUCACAGAAUCCUCGUACUUUGAAAUCUUCUCCUUUAGUAAACAAUAGAUCCGAAUCUAGAGCUCCUUUAAGAUAUCUCAUCACCCACUUAACAGCUUCCCAGUGUAUUCUUCCUGGCUUGCUCAUAUAACAGCUGAUUAAGCCCACUGCAAAACAUAAGUCUGGUCUAGAUCCCACCAUUGCAUACAUUAAACUUCCAACGGCUGAUACGUAUGGAAUCACAUUCAUGAACCUUGCUUCCUCGUGCUCUUCUUUUUGUGUCAAACUUUUAAGCUUGAAUUGUGGUCCGAUAGGAGUAACCACAGCUUUGCUCUCUGCCAUGUUAAAAGUUUCCAGCACCUUCUGUAGAUACUUCCCUUGUGAUAGUUUUAGAGUUCCUUUCUUCCUGUCUCUAAUAAUAUCCAUUCCAAGUAUUCUUGAAGCUGCUCCAAGGUCCUUCAUCUCAAACUCUCUCUUCAAGCUAUCUUUGAUUCUUUUAAUUUCUUUAGAAUCCUUAGAUGCUAUGAGCAUGUCAUCAACAUAGAUCAAGAGAUAAACCAUAUGAGAUAAGUCUGAACCUUUCAUGUAGACACAAGGAUCAUAUGCACUUCUUUCGAAGCCUUGUUGCUUCAUGAAACUAUCAAAUCUCCUAUUCCACUGUCUUGGUGAUUGUUUUAAUCCGUAAAGUGAUUUCAACAGGAGACAAACUUGAUCUUCUUUUCCCUCCUCAACGAAACCUUCUGGCUGUGCCAUAUAUAUCUCCUCGUCUAACGUUCCGUACAGGAAAGCCGUUUUCACGUCUAGUUGUUCCAAAUCAAGAUCAUAAUUUGCAACAAGUGACAGCAUAAUUCUAAUCGACACGUGUUUCACCACUGGUGCAAACACCUCUGUGUAGUCGAUCCCUUCAACUUGUGAAAACCCUUUAGCUACUAAUCUAGCUUUGUAUCUCGGCUUCUCUACUCCAGGAAUGCCUUCUUUCAGCUUGAAAACCCACUUGCUGCCAAUAAUCUUCUUUUUCUCUGGUUUCUCAACCAGCUUCCAAGUCUGAUUUUUCUCCAACGAAUCCAUCUCUUCUUGCAUUCCCUCGUUCCAUAACUUCCAGCUCUUACUUCUUCUUGCUUCCAAAUAGGAUUUAGGCUCAUCCUUAUUUAUUUCUUCUGCUGUAGCUAGAGCAUAAGCCACGCAAUCUGAAUCAUCAAACCUAGAAGGUUUCUUUACUUCCCUCCUGAUUCUAUCUCUAGCAAGAAUGUAGUUGUCUAGAUUUUCCUGUUGAGCUCCCACAACUUCUUCUUCACUUUCUGAGCUUGCGGAUUCAGGUUCCGAGUUUUCUGAUGCUGGAGAAACUCCACCUUGAACUGUAUCCUCUGUUUCAGUGUCUGUAGUUGUGUUUGAAGGUCCUUGAAUCAGCACAGGAUUGAACGUUACCUUUUUCGUUUUCCUCUUCUUCUCGCUGAUUCCUUUAAUGUCUUUAAACAUCUCUUCCUCAUUGAAAAUCACGUUUCUGCUUACUGUACAUCUUAGUUCUUCUGGUAACCAAACUCGAUAACCUUUAGUCCCGUCUGGAUAUCCCAUGAAAACUCCUUUCAUCGCUCUUGGACUGGUUUUGGCUUGAGUCACGUGAACAUAAGCUGUACAUCCGAACUUCCUUAGAUGAUUUAAGUCUGUUUUGGUUCCAGACCACACCUCUGUCGGUAGUUUGAAGUUAAUAGCUGUACUGGGAGAUCGGUUUAUUAAGUAGACAGCUGUAGAAGCCGCUUCUGCCCAGAACUUUUGCUCUAAGCCUGCCUCUGUCAACAUACAUCUCACCUUCUCCAUAAUCGUACGGUUCAUGCGUUCUGAUACUCCGUUUUGCUGUGGAGUAUAGACGCAUGUUCUGUGUCUUUUAAUCCCUGCUUCCUUACACAAUGUGUCCAUCUGUGUAUUGCAGAACUCUAAUCCGUUAUCUGUCCUAAGACACUUCACCUUCUUUCCUGUCUCAGUCUCCACGCAUGUUUUCCAUUCCCUGAAGUUUUGAAACACUUCAUUUUUUGAUUUUAGGAAAUAGAUCCAAACUUUCCUAGAAAAAUCAUCAAUGAAUGUAACAAAAUAGAAACAUCCUCCGAGACUCUCUACCACCGAAGGUGAACCCCAUAAAUCUGAAUGGAUGUACUCUAGGACUUCCUUAGUCGUGUGCUUGCCUUUUGGAAAGCUUAGCUUGUGUGCUUUGCCCAAAACGCAAUUCUCGCAAAACUCUAACGUCUUCACAUCCUUUUCGUUUAAAUAUCCGUCCUUGACUAAAAUAUUCAUGCCCUUUAGACUCAUAUGUCCAAGCCUAGAGUGCCACUUUUUAGUCAAAUCGAUAUCAGGCCUUGCGACUGCAGCUUCACCAUCCAAUACUGUCCCUUGUAAGUAGUACAGACCAUCACAGUAUUUUCCAGAAAUAACCUUCUUAUCUCCUUUGUAAAACUGCACCAUGAAGUCUUUGCCUUCGUAUCUGCAUCCCAUCUUUUCCAAUAAACCGUAGGAGAUAAGGUUUCUGCCCAUUGUAGGCAUGUAACGAACAUCAGUGAGAAUCACGCUUGAUCCAUCAUCAUUCAUGAUCCUGAUUUUCCCGAUCCCUUUAAUCUCGCUGAUAGUGUUAUUUCCCAUCAAAACCUUUCCUCCUUCUAUGUCUUCAAGAUCAAAUAAGACAUCUUUAUUUGGGGUGAUAUGGAAUGUACAGCCAGAAUCAAGUACCCACUCGUCCUUAGUAGCUUGCUGGCUAGCCACUAAUACCGAUGGUUCCACCUUCUCUUCUGCUAUGUUGACCGAAUUUGAUGGCUUCUUUCUUUCUGGACACUGCUUUUUAAAAUGUACUUCCUUGCCACACGUCCAACAUUCUUUAGAGAACUUAGGUCUUGAUUUUGAUCUGUUAUUGCUUUUAGAUCUUCUUCUCCCCUCUGCCUCUGUUGUCGCCAGCAAACAGCCCCUCCGAGUUACUUUUGGACUUGUUGAGAAGUCCCUUCUCUCUUAAUUCUACUUCCUUAGAAUAAGCUGAGCUUGUAACAUCACGAACCGUUAAAAUUUCUUUGCCGCUGCCGUAUUUUAAUGCAUCAACGAGAGACUCGUAUUGCUUGGGCAAGCUGGUUAAGAUCUGAAUUGCUUGAUCUUCUUCACUGAUCUUAAUAUCCAGACUUGCUAGAUCAGCCACAAGUUUCAGAAACACAUCCAUAUUUUCCUCAAUGGACUUGUGCUCUUCCAUUCUAAAACCUGCAUAUCUCUGCUUCAUGUAGAUUCGAUUUGGUAAUGUCUUGGUCUGAUACUCAGCUUCUAGAGCCUUCCACAUAGCCAGUGCUGUAGGCUCUUGCAUAACCUUGCGCAGAAUAAGGUCAGAUAGACACAAACUGAUCAGAUUCUUUGUACGCAAUUCCCGGUCUUGCUCCUUAGGAUCAGGUUUUUCAUCUUUCUGUUCUUCACCUUCAACAUCCGUAGAAGGAGUUUUCUCCUUAAGAACAGACCCCAAACCAAAGAUCUCUAGCUGACACAGCAUCUUAUAUUUCCAUAGACCAAAAUCACCUUUGCCAUCGAAUUUUUCCACUUCAAAUUUCUUUGAAAUUGCUUCCAUCUUUCUUAUAACCCGUAAACUUAUUUUCCUUUGUUUGCAGGUUGCUGUAACACGCCGUAGUCUUUCAAGCUUCAAUCACCAACGAGCUGAGUCUUCUUCUCCGCACCAGAUAAGAAUUCUCCUUGCUUGUUUAUUGAAUCUUGCCCUCGAAUCUCUGUAACUAGGAUCUCUGUUAGCCUAAGCUCUGAUACCACUUGUAGAGAAACGACCUUGGCUGUUUCUUGUAACAAGUAAAUCGACACAACAAUAUGUUGGGCGAGUCCUCUUCAAACCGGAGACAAACUCUAUAUCACUAUGAAUCGAAAACGUUACAAGCUUCGCACUAGUUGCGUGUUCUAUGCUUUAGAGAGUUUUAUGUUUCUGUAUUCUUACAACUUUGAGUAGAGACCUCUAUUUAUACUAGACCUAAUCAUGUUAAUCCUUGUUGUAUAAGAAAUAACAUAUAUCCUAAAGCUAUAAGGAAUACUUAGACUUAACCCAUAUUCUUUAUGUCUUGUUUCAGGUCUAAAACCGAAGCCCAUAAGCAGCCCACCAGAUGGUCCAAGAGACACAAGCCUCACACUUUUGUUUUAAUUUUACCCAAUCCAUUAUAGCAUAUGAUUUAUAGCUUAUGUAUAGUAGAUUUGUGUGGGUCCUCGGAGGUUAACUGUAUAAGAUGUUGCUGUUAGGUACUUAACAAUGAAAUAAGCUAUGCAACUUAACUUGACAUUUUUGUCUGGCUCCGAGGUCUUUUUUUGCUGAUGUGAUAGCAAAUGGAAAUUGUUUGAUUCUAAUAUGGUCUGUAUGAAAAUGAAUUUCAUAUUGUUGCUUUGACGGAAUGCUUCAUGAACUAAUGGUUUUUGG
rnacentral:lncRNA from 1 species